CCAGGCUGCUAAUUGACACAUCGACUGUGUUGACACAGUCCAGGCUGCUAAUUGACACAUCGGCUGCGUUGACACAGUCCAGGCUGCUAAUUGACACGUGAACUGCACCUGCAUCGGCUGCUUGGCACAGUACAGGCUGCGCCACUUAGUCCAGGGGGCGUCGACUCAGUGCAGAGGGCGUUGACGCAGCAAAAGCCCGCCACACAGUGUUUAUAAGGAACACCUGCCGAAACAAGCCAGACCUCACUCACGCUCGCUUGUCGAAGCUCGUGUCAGUGCAGACUUCGUGUUCGUGCCUUGCCUUCCUUGCCGAUUAUGGAGCAGAGACGCAAAUCAUCCGCCGUGUGGGACCAUUUUGAUGUCCUGGAGAAUAAGGUGAAAUGUCGAAUUUGCCAAGUCAAUUCGCCAACAGAAGCACCUCCACCAUGCUGAGGCAUUAUCGGGCCAAGCAUGAGAAUGAAGUUCGCGAUACACCCGGUAUUACGCCAGGUUCCAGGAAGCAGCUGUACUGGAAGGACCAACACACUUCUUUCCCAAACCUCUCCCACCUCGCAAAGGAGUUCCUUUGUACGCCAGCCACAUCCAUCCCUUGUGAGCGUGUGUUCUUCACAGCAGGAGAAAUUGCUUGUAAAAGACUCAACCGGCUGAAGUUUAAAACUU